UAAGGUUCGAUUCGAGCGAAAGCGAGAAAGCGUUGCCGCAGGCAACGACCCGAAGGGCGAAGCGCGCAGCGCUGAGUAAUCCUUCCCCCACCACCA
rnacentral:sRNA from 1 species